UCGGGAAUCUUGGGCAAUGGGCGCAAGCCUGACCCAGCGACGCCGCGUGAGGGAUGAAGGCCUUCGGGUCGUAAACCUCUGUCAGGAGGGAAGAAUGGCGGUGAGGUGAACAAUCUCGCUGUCUGACGGUACCUCCGAAGGAAGCGCCGGCUAACUCCGUGCCAGCAGCCGCGGUAAUACGGAGGGCGCAAGCGUUGUUCGGAAUCACUGGGCGUAAAGCGCGUGUAGGCGGCUUGGCAAGUCGGGUGUGAAAUCCCGAGGCUCAACCUCGGAACUGCACUCGAAACUGCCUGGCUCGAGUCCCGGAGAGGGUGGCGGAAUUCCCGGUGUAGGGGUGAAAUCCGUAGAUAUCGGGAGGAACACCAGUGGCGAAGGCGGCCACCUGGACGGUGACUGACGCUGAGACGCGAAAGCGUGGGGAGCAAACAGGAUUAGAUACCCUGGUAGUCCACGCCGUAAACGGUGAGUGCUAGACGUCGCGGGUAUUGACCCCCGCGGU
rnacentral:rRNA from 1 species